GGAACGAUUUGGGUGUGUGCAAGGAGUGGGAGAAAGGGGGUGCAGAGUGGGGCUCUGGCUGGGUUCUGAGGCUGGACAGGAGCAGGCACAGCGGCUGCAGCUCUGCUCUCCACACUGCCCGGGGCCCCCGCCACAACCGCGGAGUUUCACGGCUCGGGAAAAGCCCCGUGAGGGCACAGCAGCCCUGGCACAAGGCUGAGGAGUCCCGGCCCGGCGCCUCCUUCCCCUCAGCUCCCGCACCGCCCGUCCCGGGCACAAGGGGUGAAAGGGCUCCCUGAGGAGACAGCCCCAGGGUCCGACCCCAGAGGAUGGGAGAGCGCCAAUCCUCCCUUAGCAGAGGGAGCCACAUGGAGAGUUAAGGAGAAAGCAAAACUGUGUAAGUGGUUUCAGAACCCUCUCGAAAAUCUGCUUACUGCACGCAACAUAGCUCGACCUUUCUGGCUCCCCUUGGCCCCUCAGAGAACAGCAGACACGCAAGAGGUUGGUGGUGUGCAGUGCUGCGGUCCCACGAGACCAGGCUUAGAGCAGACUCACCACAGCUCUCACUGCUGCCGCACCGACCAUGGAUGGCUUCUCAUUCAUUGCGGGACUCAUCAUAGGAGCUGCAGUUAGAGGAACAACAGCAGGAGCAAUGAAUCACAACAGGAAUGCCCAUGGGGAAAACCGAAGGGCCAGCCCUGAAGGCAGCGACCAAGGCCAUGGUGGGCGGAGAAGAACACCUGCUUACCACUACCAGUGAUCACAAACAGAUUUGCUUCCUUCCAAGCAGCCUGAUGUGUCUCUUCCCACUGCAGCAACUGGAAAGAUCCUGCUGACCCUGCCAUGUGCUCCUUUCACAGACUUGGAUUGCCUUGAACCAUAAAUGCUUUGAAAGCUUAAUAAAAGUGCAUUGGAGGAG